rnacentral:lncRNA from 1 species
CAGGCAGGCAGGCAGGCAGGCAGGCAGGCAGGCAGCCAGAUAGAUAGAUAGAUAGAUAGAUAGAUAGAUAGAUAGAUAGAUAGAUAGAUAGAUAGGUAGGUAGGUAGGUAGGUAGGUAGGUAGGUAGGUAGGUAGGUAGGUAGGUAGGUAGACAGACAGACAGACAGACAGACAGACAGACAGACAGACAGACAGACAGACAGACAGACACAUUACAUAUACACAUGUAUAUAUGAAGGAAAAAGACUCACAAGCCUGAGGCAGCAUGGGAGCUCCAGGGUGAAGAUGGCAGAUGCCUGCAUACUGAGAGUUUGCUCCUUUGAUUUAGAAGACCGAGUAUGCCCAUUUCUAGCACCCUCAUGGCCGACAGCUUCCUUGCUAACUAGUGUCCGUACCCUUUCUCUUAUGGCCAUCGAAUCUGCACAUUCAGCUCCCAUCUGCACAAAUUCACAGAGAAACUUCCCUGUCAAUGUGUGUGGAAAGCUGACAACUUGCUGAGAAAUUAACAACAAAUGUCAUAAUGUUUUUUUUUUUUAACCAAUGUGUUGGUGUGAAUGUACUAGGUGAAAAAAAAUGUAAUUAGUUCUUUAUGAAGUGUGAUGUUUUAGAUAGCCUACAGGCUAAAGAAUUCAGUGUGUGUGUCCAGUUUGUGUGAAGUAGGAUGCAUCCAUGAAUAACUCUGAGGGUCCCGCUAAAGCUGAGCUGCUGGUACCCUCCAGGAGGCUCAGAGAGCCUCAGACUUGGGUAUGUAAUAGCCACAUACUUGGAAUUUUCUUCUUUCUAUUACUAUGCAAAAACAAAUUAUUUCCCCCAAAUAGAGCACAUUAUACCCACUUGAUUUUGCUGGUAGCCAAUGAGCAGGACAUUUUGACGGAGCACAGUGGGGACAUAUCCCUAGUUGGUCUGUUCCCACAUUGAGGAGAUGCCACUCACAAGGCUGGAGUCAGUCUUGGACUUCAAGGGACUCCCUAUGUGGCCUGGGAAUCCUCCAGAGGAGAGGUCCUGGGUGCUCAUGGCUUCCACUUAGAAGCUGAUGCUCCCAGACGUGACCUUGGGUUUGUAUAGUGUCAUGUGAAAGCAACUGUCAAUACACAGGGGCCACUGGGGAGGGACUGAAAAUCACCUCUCAAUAGGACAUAUGAGAAAUAAAUUGAAAUCACAAUCUUAAACUAACGCAAGCUGUAGGAAGUAUUCAGUAGCUGGGAGAUCAUUUCAGAAGCUACAUUAUAGGGCAAGUGCCCUGCAGCCUCUGAGACAGGGUCAGUAUGGGGUAGACUGCUGAAUCUUUACACAGAGUCAGGGACCCAGAAGAGAAAGAGCUGUGGGGUGACAUGAGGUCAGAUCCACCCCCAGUGUCGCUCUGGCCAGGACUCGCUCCUCCUUCUCGUCAGUCACAUUACUCUUUUUCUCAGCAGGUUCCUGGACUUUGUUCAGAGUGAUGCACAUAUUCAUGGUGACCAACAGAAUCUAUGCAUGUUCAGAAUGCACAAUGAGGACUCUUAGUGCUGGCCCCACUAUCCAGAACCCUGCCCUGCUGGAGCUAAACCUGUGCAUUCAGAUGGAGAACUCUCAGGUCCAUCUCCAGCACCACAUCUGCCUGCCUGCCACCAAGCUUCCUGACAUGAUGUCAAUGGACUAAACCUCUGAAACUGUAAGCCAGCUCCAAUUAAAUGCUUUCCUUUAUCAGAGUUGCCGUGGUCAUGGUGUCUCUUCACAGCAAUAGAACACUGACACCUACAAUCAGGAAAAAAAAAUGAUUGCUAUCAACUAGAAUAGAAGAUGAGCAAUAGGCAAAUGAGAAAUGUGAAUAGAUAAAAAUUAUCUGAAAACAUGGUCAAAUCCAGCAAACACCAAGUCAGGUGCUGUAAUCUGCAAGAAGAAGCUGUGGGGAUGAGAAAAGCAGCUCUGUCUGAGAGGAUGGUGCAGAGGGCAUGUGGUAGAGGUAGGUGCUUCAACACCAUGACUAGAUAGAACCAAGAGAAUCCUUGACAGUUCAGAGGUCAAAGAUCAUGCCAGAGAACUGCCAGGGGUAGAAAACCUGCCCUCUUGUCUUGAAAACCUACAGAGCUACUUCUGAAUGAAGCACUAAGCCACUGGGGGUGUAAAGCAGAAAGCUAACCUGAGGGGUUUGAAUAUAAAUACAGGUGCGACAUGAGCAAAACAGAACGGGAAGCCUCGAGUGCAUCCUUAAAGAGAUGCAGACUCGAAACCAUGCACUUUGCAAAAGGGGUCUUUGUGAGGUGACUGCUAUAGACAAGAACAGGCACCAGAAAGCAUGCAGUACUGCAGACAGACUACAGAGGGAGCUCGGAUCCAGCCAAACUCCUAAAUAGAAACAGAAGUUGCUUGCUUUUUAAGCCUGACCCAGGAAGCUCAGGCUGACCAUGAUGAAAACACAAUGUGGCCAGGGAUGGCUUUGUGCUCUUGAUCUUUCUGUCCCCACAUCCCAGGUGCUGGGAUUUCUAGUGUUCCAUAUAAGUGUUAUUACUGUGUGUGCAUGGCCUUCACAGCACACACGUGAAGGUCAGAAGACCACUUUAGGGACCAUAGACCGCCUAACACUUUUGGAUGUGUGUUAGAAUGCUGGUGGUCAGGCUUGUGUGAUUUUCGCUUGCCUAAUCAUCUCUCUGGCUCCAGAUGUAUCUUUAAAAUUGGGGUAUGAGGAACUAAUGAAAUGGCUCAGUGGUUAAGAGCACUGGAUGCUCUUAAGAGGACUUGGGUAGGAUUCCUAGCUCCACACAGUGGCUCACAACUGCCUGUAAAUCCAGCUCCAGGGGAUCUGAUGUCCUCUUCUGACCUCCUCUGGCACCAGGCACACAUAUGGAAUACAUACAUACAUACAUACAUACAUACAUACAUACAUACAUGCAGGCAAACUAUCCACCCACAUUUAAAAAAAAAAUGUUUAAAGAACAAAAAAAGUAGAUAAAUGAACUAAAAACAAGAACCAACAUCCAACUAUACACUGCUGACAAGAAGCAAAUUUUACAUAGAUGGUAUGGGCUUUUAAUUAAAAAUAAGCAGGUGGACCAGGAGUGGAAGGGGCCACUGCUGGAAAGCAGCACGUGAGAACUAACUGCGUCUCCACUUUCUCUCUGUCACCCCACCUCUUAGUCUCGCUGACAGGUAGCUUUCUGCAUCCUUCUGUCCUCCUUGGCACUGAGCCUUUCCCAGACCUUCAAGAGAUGUGAAGAGAAACUCUCUACUCUUUAUGUUGGCGCACUUCGAUCUCCUGUAACCACGUCGUGUAUGUCCACAGUAAUUAUUUUCAUGUAAAAAAAUGCAGAGAACUGUGGCCACCUCAGUUUUUUCUAAAUUCAUUUUCAUCGUAUGCUGAAAGUAUUAUUUUAUUCGUGGCAUGCCCAGUGAAAAUGCUCACGUGAAGAUAUAUAGAUGUGAAUAAACCCCCUGAUGCACACUGCCUUACAAAUACGAGCACUCUGAACUUUGAAAGUCCAUUAAGAUGAUCUCUUAGACCUAUCAAGUAUUUCAUAAAAUUUUAAAAUGCUAAUUCCUUGUUUAAAAAAACCACUCAUUAGAGUCAUAAGAUAAAGAUUUCAUUAAGUUACAAAAUGUAAUGUAAUAGACAUAGAUUUUGAUAGAAAUUUCCUUCCAAACAAGUCAAGUUCGAAGUAAAUACAUGUUAGUUGUAGCAAAUAUACCCUAAUUAUAAUUUUGUCUCUUUGUGUAACAGUCAUAGUUAACAUAAAAAUCAUAUGAUUUCUGUUUCAAAAUGUUUUACAAAACGUAUAACACUGCUAAAUGUAAGGUUUUGAUUGGGGUUGGAUGACAUGAAAAAUAAUAUGUAUAAAUGUCUGCUAAAGGUCUUGGAGUCAUUUCCUUUUCUCAGUGUAAAUGACAGGAAUUGUAAAUCCCAAACGAGAGUAAUGUUCAAGGCCUUGAUAUCUAAAAUCUACCUCGCAUGUGAUUACAUAAAUGUGCACUGCCUGCAUGUGCACCAAACUGGCUUCUGCAUAAGUGUUCUUGUAAACUAAAGCCAUUAAACUGGUACAACUUCCUUUUGUUUCUUUUUUUAAAUUUUAUGUUUGUUUGUUUGUUUGUUUGUUUGUUUGUUUGUUUGUUUUGAGACAGGGUUUCUCUGUAUAGCCCUGGCUGUCCUGGAACUCACUUUGUAGACCAGGCUGGCCUCGAACUCAGAAAUCUGCCUGCCUCUGCCUCCCAAGUGCUGGGAUUAAAGGCGUGUGCCACCAUGCCCGGCACAACUUCCUUUUCAUUUGUAGUAAAACUAAAAUUUCAAGGGAAAAAGUCCUAAUUCCAACCACCUCUUCAGGCUGAGCCUGGCUACAUGUCUGUAGGUCAGUUAAGGUGGCAGGAUAAAGGUGAAGGGCAGAGAGGGCACAUCCAGUCAGUGUGUGAGCAUUUACAGGCAGAGGGCUAACAGGCUUAGCAUUUUCUUCAGGGAGGCUAACAUACAUUUUUAAUUAAAAUGUUUUUAAGCUCAUGCAGAAUUGCACAGUUUUGGACAAGAUGUUGUCUUCUUAACCUAUCUCUCAAUCCUGGUUCUACAAAAUGACCCUCACUCCCUAGGGAUAUCAAUUAAUUUUAAGAAAUUACUUCCAUCCCAGCGUGCAUUUUUUUUUCCUAUGGGAUAAUUGCCUCCUUCUCAGACGCUAACUUCAUCCCAAGGACUAAAGUGAUGACUUAUCUCUGUGCUUUACGUAUGUUGUGUGUGUGUGUGUGAACUACGUAUGCUGUGUGUGUGAACUACAUAUGUUGUGUGUGUGUGAACUACAUAUGUUGUGUGUGUGUGAACUAUGUAUGUUGUGUGUGUGUGUGAACUACAUAUGUUGUGUGUGUGUGUGUGAAUAUAUAUGAAGAUACAUGCACUUUAGUUGUUUUAAGGAUUGUUUUUGUCAGUACCAUCUCUUUAAAAAAAUCAUUUUAAAAACCACUUGAAGGCUUGCAGACAUCUUCAGGUUUACAGAUUACCUUAAUGUGUUAAUAAUAUACAUGGGACAAUCGUUCAUCUAUGUUUUUAGUUCUAAAGAAAUAUAAAAUAGUUGAGGCAAAAUACUUGUUAAAUAACUCACAUACCGGUGAACAGGUCGUUCAAAAGGAAUAAAGUAAGAAAUGCCAAACGUUUCCCUGCUUUGGCUCCUUGUAAUCCAGAAUAACAGCUAACCCCUUUUAGUUCUCAUACUUGGGAAGGGGCAGGUGGAUCUCUGAGUUUAAGGCCAACCUGGUCUACAGAUGAGGUUUCAGCAUAGCCUGGGUAGCCUGGGCUACAAAGAGAGCCCCUUGUCUCAAUUUUUUAUUUUGUAUUUUUUUUUUUUUUUUUUUUUUUUUUUUUGCACAGGAUAUCACUAUGUAGCUCUGGCUAUCCUGAAACUCACUAGGUAGAUCAGGCUGGCCCAAAACUCGCAGAGAUCCAAUUGUCUCUGCCCCUCAAGUGCUGGGACUU